GUGUGUGUGUGUGUGUGUGUGUGUGUGUGUGUGUGUGUGUGUGUGUGUGUGUGUGUGUGUGUGUGUGUGUGUGUGUGUGUGCUUAUCUGUUUGUCUCUCGUGUAGCUCGAUAUCAAUUAAAUGAGGUCACGAAGCUGUAUGUGUUUGUUGCUCCCAGUACAAUGAUUGCGUAAUGGACGAGCGGUGUUGCGGCGGUCAGCAUCCAAAAUAGAUACGGUUGUGGACAUACGCUAUAGCUGGGUGUGGCCUCUGUGGUUAUCUCCGUACAGACAGGCUGCUCUUAAGACUCUUCAUAAUAUAUUAGAGGAUCUUGGAACCAUCACAACUCGAUGCAGUACCUACCCAGAUACAGCGUCAGUAGUAGUAGUAGUAGUAGUAGUAGUAGCAGUAGUAGUAGUAGUAGUAGUAGUAGUAGUAGUAGUAGUAGUAGUAGUAGUAGUAGUGGUGGUGGUAGUUGUAGUAAGUCAAACAUCUGUAUCCUCUGUAUCCCUCAUACCUGUGUUUUCCAACUCAUCUAUAGGCCUCACACACCUGCAUCCUGUAUCUUAACCCCCCAGCCGCACCCCCCACCCCUAAACUUUUCUAUAAAUACACGUGAACCGUUGGGGCGAGUUAGUUUGUUCUUCGCCGCCAAGCAUUUACCAACACACACCAUCCUACAAGGAGCCGCCACGAUGCGCUGGUCUCAUCUGGCGUUCCUAGUUCUGCUGAUUCCUCUGCUGCUGCCUUGGGACACCACUUCAGUAUACAGUGUGUGUGGGUGGAAGACUGGACGCCAUCAUAUCCUUCGACGAAACCCUGCUUAUUGGCGCCCUCGCCGCCUUGGUGAGAAGAAGGGUCGAAUGGGCUCGCCCAUUACAAACCGCAGACCAUGUCUGGUACGAGAUGCGAGUGGCGAGUGGCGCGAGGAUGCAAAAUGUCGAGCGAGGAAACGCAGGCUCUGGCACCGACGAGGCUCCAAAAACGACUAGCCACACCCACGACCACUACGUCCAGCCACACCUCAUUUACGACCACCAAUGCCAGCCACACCAUCACCACGACUACCGAGUCCAGCCACCACGAACAGCCAAGGACUGGCUGGACAGUAGUGGUGGGCAUAAUCGAUUAUAUUGAUUACAGGGAAGAAAUUUCUGUAAUCGAUUAUAAUUCAAUUACCAAACGAUUACUUGACAAUUAUUAAGUCACGAGUUUGUGAAUUCAAUUUUGAUUUUUGUAAAAUAAAGUUUCAGGUAUUA